GGCGGCGGAAAAGGCGGGUAACGUGAAUUGCCGAAUGAUUCAAGGCGAGGCAAUAGUUGCUUCAGACUGCUGACUGGUCUUUGCAGACUCGGCGGCUAGGGAAUUGAGAAGGCUCAGGGGGCCAUUUCUGACAAGAAUGUGUUUGCAAACUACACUUGUGCGAGAUACUAAACUUUUGCACCCAAAUACCCCUUAACCCUGAAGGAGAGUGAGGGAGUUGAACGGGACCCUUUAUUUAAGGUAACCACCACCCAGGUCAAGAAAUUAUAAGAUUCCCAGAAGCCUCCUUUAUGUUGCCUCGAAUGACUGGCACCUGUUGCCAAAGCUUUCUCAAGAAAAAUAAAAUCUCUAGCAAUGUUUGGCCUUGCUUCUGCCCUCUUCUGCAUGAUUUAUGAGAGUCUAAAGAUAUAGAAAAUAUCUUAUUCACCCAGAAUUUCCAUGGGAUUGGAGAACAUAGAUCUGCUUUUGUGAAGUGAAAUCUACAUUUAAUUAGAAGAAUCAGACUUCCCAGGCACACUAAUGAAGAAGACGUGUGGAAGCAUGAACUUUUGGAAAAGUCAGAGCAUAAGGGAUCUUACUGAGAGGAAGAAAGGUGAAGAAGAUUGCCAAUCUUACAGAUGGCAAUGCACACUACAGUAAGAUUCUCUUACCUCUGUGGCUCCACAGAACUUUAGAAAAUCAAUAAAGAUAUAGAUGUGAUUGAUGUGAUUAGAAAUUUGUGUAAGUGACUGAAGCUUCUAGAUCUGAAGUGGCAUAGGAGCAAACUGACCUGCACAAAUUCAGGAAUGGAGGCAGAAAGGGGAGAAAGCAUGGUGUAAAAAUCAUGGGGUAGUUCUGGGAGCCUGUUGGGCUGAGUCAAGGCAGAGAUACUCAUCUCCUGUAACCACAUAGAAAUUAUAGAUAUAAAAAUAACAAAAAUUGUUAUAGAUGCCACUGGAUGCAAAAAAAAUACUUAGCCUUUCAC